AUUGAACGCUGGCGGCAGGCCUAACACAUGCAAGUCGAACGAGUGGCGGACGGGUGAGUAAUGUCUGGGAAACUGCCUGAUGGAGGGGGAUAACUACUAGAAACGGUAGCUAAUACCGCAUACCAUCAGAUGUGCCCAGAUGGGAUUAGCUUGUUGGUUGGGUAACAGCUCACCAAGGCGACGAUCCCUAGCUGGUCUGAGAGGCUGACCAGACAAACUGAACCUGCGACACGGGCCAGACUCCUACGGGAGUCAGAAGUGGGGAAUAUUGCACAAUGGGCGCAAGCCUGAUGCAGCCAUGCCGCGUGUAUGAAGAAGGCCUUCGGGUUGUAAAGUACUUUCAGCGGGGAGGCGUUACCCGCAGAAGAAGCACCGGCUAACUCCGUGCCAGCAGCCGCGGUAAUAC
rnacentral:rRNA from 1 species